CUUGAGACAGGUGCUGCAUGGCUGUCGUCAGCUCGUGUCGUGAGAUGUUCGGUUAAGUCCGGCAACGAGCGCAACCCACACUUUCAGUUGCCAGCAUUCAGUUGGGCACUCUGGAAGAACUGCCGAUGAUAAGUCGGAGGAAGGUGUGGAUGACGUCAAGUCCUCAUGGCCCUUACGGGUUGGGCUACACACGUGCUACAAUGGUGGUGACAGUGGGCUGC
rnacentral:rRNA from 1 species